GCAAAAUAAGAAAACAGACAGUCUAUAGCCCAACAUAUUCCGGAAGUGUACACAGCAGAAUCCCCCAGCGCUGAGAACUGAUAUGGUGAAAUGGAAAGCGGAUAAGAUGGCGUUCCAUAAAGACCGCAUUUUCAUUCACGUGCACGCAUUGAGGCCUGUGCAUUGAUGGAUCUACGACGUUGAACAAACAUGGUGAAUGCAGAUGUACAACAUGGCGUCCGCGACUCCACUCCGCUGGACUCGACUGGACUCGGCUCAGCGGCAGCAUCACGUCACCCUGUCCUCUAACCUGCCACGAGGGCCUCGACGAGAACCAAAGAGCUCGGCGUGUGGAGAGCCAGUCAGCUUGUAACAUCAUCAGCUCAUUAUGUCUGGAGUUGGUGCACUGGGGAAAAUAUUGCUUAUGGGAAGCAGUGAUCAUAAAGGCUGACCAUGUUGUAGUCAUAGCAACUCGUAAAGUAAUACCUG